UACGGAGGGUGCAAACGUUGCUCGGAAUCAUUGGGCGUAAAGCGCACGUAGGCGGAUGUGUCAGUCAGGGGUGAAAUCCCGGGGCUCAACCUCGGAACUGCCUUUGAUACAGCACGUCUCGAGUCCGGAAGAGGUGGGUGGAAUUCCUAGUGUAGAGGUGAAAUUCGUAGAUAUUCGCAAGAACACCAGUGGCGAAGGCGGCUCACUGGCCCGGUACUGACGCUGAGGUGCGAAAGCGUGGGGAGCAAACAGG
rnacentral:rRNA from 1 species